rnacentral:rRNA from 1 species
CUACGGGGGGCUCCAGUGAGGAAUAUUGCACAAUGGGGGGAACCCUGAUGCAGCAACGCCGCGUGGAGGAUGACGCAUUUCGGUGUGUAAACUCCUUUUAUAUGUCAAGAAAAUGACGGUAGCAUAUGAAUAAGCACCGGCUAACUCCGUGCCAGCAGCCGCGGUAAUAGCGGAGGGUGCAAGCGUUACUCGGAAUCACUGGGCGUAAAGGACGCGUAGGCGGGUUGGAAAGUCAGGUGUGAAAUCCUACAGCUUAACUGUAGAACUGCACUUGAAACUUCUAAUCUAGAGUAUGGGAGGGGGAGAUGGAAUUAGUGGUGUAGGGGUAAAAUCCGUAGAUAUCACUAGGAAUACCUAAAGCGAAGGCGAUCUCCUGGAACAUUACUGACGCUAAGGCAUGAAAGCGUGGGGAGCAAACAGGAUUAGAUACCCGGGUAGUC